UACGAAGGGAGCUAGCGUUGUUCGGAAUCACUGGGCGUAAAGCGCACGUAGGCGGAUGUGUCAGUCAGGGGUGAAAUCCCGGAGCUCAACUUCGGAACUGCCUUUGAUACAGCACGUCUUGAGUCCGGAAGAGGUGGGUGGAAUUCCGAGUGUAGAGGUGAAAUUCGUAGAUAUUCGGAAGAACACCAGUGGCGAAGGCGGCUCACUGGCCCGGUACUGACGCUGAGGUGCGAAAGCGUGGGGAGCAAACAGG
rnacentral:rRNA from 1 species